rnacentral:rRNA from 1 species
AACGCGAAGAAMCUUACCUGGGUUUGACAUCACCGCAAAUCCCUCAGAGAUGGGGGGUCCUUCGGGGGCGGUGACAGGUGGUGCAUGGCUGUCGUCAGCUCGUGUCGUGAGAUGUUGGGUUAAGUCCCGCAACGAGCGCAACCCUUGUUCGAUGUUGCCAGCGGUUCGGCCGGGGACUCAUCGAAGACUGCCGGGGUCAACUCGGAGGAAGGUGGGGAUGACGUCAAGUCAUCAUGCCCCUUAUGUCCAGGGCUUCACGCAUGCUACAAUGGCCGGUACAAAGGGCUGCGAUACCGUGAGGUGGAGCGAAUCCCAAAAAGCCGGUCUCAGUUCGGAUCGGGGUCUGCAACUCGACCCCGUGAAGUCGGAGUCGCUAGUAAUCGCAGAUCAGCAACGCUGCGGUGAAUACGUUCCCGGGUCUUGUACACACCGCCU